UGGGGAAUAUUGGACAAUGGGCGCAAGCCUGAUCCAGCCAUGCCGCGUGUGUGAAGAAGGCCUUUUGGUUGUAAAGCACUUUAAGCGAGGAGGAGGCUACUUGGAUUAAUACUCUAGGAUAGUGGACGUUACUCGCAGAAUAAGCACCGGCUAACUCUGUGCCAGCAGCCGCGGUAAUACAGAGGGUGCGAGCGUUAAUCGGAUUUACUGGGCGUAAAGCGUGCGUAGGCGGCUUUUUAAGUCGGAUGUGAAAUCCCUGAGCUUAACUUAGGAAUUGCAUUCGAUACUGGGAAGCUAGAGUAUGGGAGAGGAUGGUAGAAUUCCAGGUGUAGCGGUGAAAUGCGUAGAGAUCUGGAGGAAUACCGAUGGCGAAGGCAGCCAUCUGGCCUAAUACUGACGCUGAGGUACGAAAGCAUGGGGAGCAAACAG
rnacentral:rRNA from 1 species